AUUGAACGCUAGCGGGAUGCUUUACACAUGCAAGUCGAACGGCAGCGCGGACUUCGGUCUGGCGGCGAGUGGGGAACGGGCGAGUAAGGAAUCGGAAGGUGACCAGCCGCGGGGGAUAACUACGCGUAGGGGAACCUGAUACAGCAUCCGCCCUACGGGGGAAAGCAAGGGAUCGUAAGAGCUUGAAGGAUUGGAGCGGACGAUUACGUAUUAGCUAGUUGGUGAGGUAACGGCUCACCAAGGCGACGAUCCGUAGCCGGUUUGAGAGGACGACCUGCCACACUGGGACUGAGACACGGCCCAGACCCCUACGGGAGGCAGCAGUGGGGAAUUUUGCGCAAUGGGGGCAACCUUGACGCAGCCAUCCCGCGUGAGCGAUGAAGGCCUUCGGGUUGUAAAACACUUUUGGCAGGAAAGAAACGUCGCGUGCUUAUAUCCCCUGGAACUGACGGUACCUGCAGAGUAAGCACCGGCUAACUACGUG
rnacentral:rRNA from 1 species